rnacentral:lncRNA from 12 species
GGGGGCGUCAGGGGCGUCAUCACCGCGCUGCCGGUCCCGCCGCUCCGGAGCUGAGGGGUUAAAACUUCCCGGAGAGCCUGACCCCAGCGGCGGAGCUGGACCACGCUGGUGGAGGGGCAGCUGAUGGAGGGGAGGAGGGAAGGAAAUUUGGGUGUCCCCGCCCCCUUCUCUGUGAUUCCCAGCGGGAUUUCGCAGCCUGGGAAGUGGGAGGAAGGCGCUGCUGCCAUUUGAGGCGUCUCUGGAUGAGAGCAAUCGUCUUCGCAUCCCUUGCCAGCCACCGGCUUGUCCCCUCACCCUUAAAAUGGGGUGACAAGUGUGGGGAACCCUAAAAAUGAGACUGUGCUAGACCAGCCUUCCCCCAUUUGCAGUUUUCCCCUCCCAUUUUCCUGCUUUCACCCCAGGAUCCAGGCGAGAUCAGUGCUCCCAGAUUGACACCCUGUUGUCCCCAUGGGAGACGUGACAACCGUGGUGGCAGGGAUGAAUCAGGGUGUCCCCAAUCCCACACAGCUGGGUGAGUGACAGGAAUGCUGCCAUCCCACAUGGAGCCGUCCGUCCGUCCGUCAGCGGGGUCACCCGUGCCAGAACGAUCCCAGCGUGGUCUCAUCCUUCACCUCGGGAUGGGGUGGCAGGGACAGGGUGAGGACGGGCACGGCUCCUGCCACCCACUGGGGUCACUGGGGAUGUCACUGGUGCCGCUGGUGGGGAAGACUCCGGUGGGAGGAAGAAAGCGUUUCCACCGCUGGGGUGCAGUUAUUCUGCCCUGGAUAACCCUGAGGGGGAUGUCAGGAUAUCCAGCCCUUGUGCCACAGAGCAUCGGGACGUGGCGCUCCCUGAGUGGACAGACAGCCGGAGCAGGGGACGCCGGGUGGGCCUGGGGAAAACAGAAGGGAAUAGAAGGAACACCAAUGGUGACGGCAACCGGGUGUCCCCACUAUGAGAAAACUGUCCCCUGGGGAAGAGGACAAGGCAGGGUGUGCUGUAGGACAGGUAGGAGAGCAGGGCGCAGCACUCAUGGAUGCCCCCUGCGAGCCCACAUGGGGG